AGCUAAGAAUCUUCCGCAAUGGGCGAAAGCCUGACGGAGCGACGCCGCGUGGACGAAGAAGGCGGAAACGUUGUAAAGUCCUUUUCUUGAGGAGGAAUAAGCCUGCGAGGGAAUGCGCGGGUGAUGACGGUAAUCGAGGAAUAAGCCCCGGCUAAUUACGUGCCAGCAGCCGCGGUAACACGUAAGGGGCAAGCGUUGUUCGGAAUUAUUGGGCGUAAAGGGCGUGUAGGCGGUUCUGCAAGCCUGGUGUUAAAUACCACAGCUUAACUGUGGGAAAGCGCUGGGAACUGCGGGACUAGAGUUUAGGAGGGGAAGCUAGAAUUCCAGGUGUAGGGGUGAAAUCUGUAGAUAUCUGGAAAGAAUACCAGUGGCGAAAGGCGAGCUUCUGGCCAUAGACUGACGCUGAUGCGCGAAAGCGUGGGGAGCGAACAGGAUUAGAUACCCUGGUAGUCCCCGCUGUA
rnacentral:rRNA from 1 species